rnacentral:rRNA from 1 species
GUUAGUGGAAGCGUCUGGAAAGGCGCGCGAUACAGGGUGACAGCCCCGUACACAAAAAUGCACAUGCUGUGAGCUCGAUGAGUAGGGCGGGACACGUGGUAUCCUGUCUGAAUAUGGGGGGACCAUCCUCCAAGGCUAAAUACUCCUGACUGACCGAUAGUGAACCAGUACCGUGAGGGAAAGGCGAAAAGAACCCCGGCGAGGGGAGUGAAAAAGAACCUGAAACCGUGUACGUACAAGCAGUGGGAGCACGCUUAGGCGUGUGACUGCGUACCUUUUGUAUAAUGGGUCAGCGACUUAUAUUCUGUAGCAAGGUUAACCGAAUAGGGGAGCCGAAGGGAAACCGAGUCUUAACUGGGCGUUAAGUUGCAGGGUAUAGACCCGAAACCCGGUGAUCUAGCCAUGGGCAGGUUGAAGGUUGGGUAACACUAACUGGAGGACCGAACCGACUAAUGUUGAAAAAUUAGCGGAUGACUUGUGGCUGGGGGUGAAAGGCCAAUCAAACCGGGAGAUAGCUGGUUCUCCCCGAAAGCUAUUUAGGUAGCGCCUCGUGAAUUCAUCUCCGGGGGUAGAGCACUGUUUCGGCAAGGGGGUCAUCCCGACUUACCAACCCGAUGCAAACUGCGAAUACCGGAGAAUGUUAUCACGGGAGACACACGGCGGGUGCUAACGUCCGUCGUGAAGAGGGAAACAACCCAGACCGCCAGCUAAGGUCCCAAAGUCAUGGUUAAGUGGGAAACGAUGUGGGAAGGCCCAGACAGCCAGGAUGUUGGCUUAGAAGCAGCCAUCAUUUAAAGAAAGCGUAAUAGCUCACUGGUCGAGUCGGCCUGCGCGGAAGAUGUAACGGGGCUAAACCAUGCACCGAAGCUGCGGCAGCGACGCUGAUGCGUUGUUGGGUAGGGGAGCGUUCUGUAAGCCUGCGAAGGUGUGCUGUGAGGCAUGCUGGAGGUAUCAGAAGUGCGAAUGCUGACAUAAGUAACGAUAAAGCGGGUGAAAAGCCCGCUCGCCGGAAGACCAAGGGUUCCUGUCCAACGUUAAUCGGGGCAGGGUGAGUCGACCCCUAAGGCGAGGCCGAAAGGCGUAGUCGAUGGGAAACAGGUUAAUAUUCCUGUACUUGGUGUUACUGCGAAGGGGGGACGGAGAAGGCUAUGUUGGCCGGGCGACGGUUGUCCCGGUUUAAGCGUGUAGGCUGGUUUUCCAGGCAAAUCCGGAAAAUCAAGGCUGAGGCGUGAUGACGAGGCACUACGGUGCUGAAGCAACAAAUGCCCUGCUUCCAGGAAAAGCCUCUAAGCAUCAGGUAACAUCAAAUCGUACCCCAAACCGACACAGGUGGUCAGGUAGAGAAUACCAAGGCGCUUGAGAGAACUCGGGUGAAGGAACUAGGCAAAAUGGUGCCGUAACUUCGGGAGAAGGCACGCUGAUAUGUAGGUGAAGUCCCUCGCGGAUGGAGCUGAAAUCAGUCGAAGAUACCAGCUGGCUGCAACUGUUUAUUAAAAACACAGCACUGUGCAAACACGAAAGUGGACGUAUACGGUGUGACGCCUGCCCGGUGCCGGAAGGUUAAUUGAUGGGGUUAGCGCAAGCGAAGCUCUUGAUCGAAGCCCCGGUAAACGGCGGCCGUAACUAUAACGGUCCUAAGGUAGCGAAAUUCCUUGUCGGGUAAGUUCCGACCUGCACGAAUGGCGUAAUGAUGGCCAGGCUGUCUCCACCCGAGACUCAGUGAAAUUGAACUCGCUGUGAAGAUGCAGUGUACCCGCGGCAAGACGGAAAGACCCCGUGAACCUUUACUAUAGCUUGACACUGAACAUUGAGCCUUGAUGUGUAGGAUAGGUGGGAGGCUUUGAAGUGUGGACGCCAGUCUGCAUGGAGCCGACCUUGAAAUACCACCCUUUAAUGUUUGAUGUUCUAACGUUGACCCGUAAUCCGGGUUGCGGACAGUGUCUGGUGGGUAGUUUGACUGGGGCGGUCUCCUCCUAAAGAGUAACGGAGGAGCACGAAGGUUGGCUAAUCCUGGUCGGACAUCAGGAGGUUAGUGCAAUGGCAUAAGCCAGCUUGACUGCGAGCGUGACGGCGCGAGCAGGUGCGAAAGCAGGUCAUAGUGAUCCGGUGGUUCUGAAUGGAAGGGCCAUCGCUCAACGGAUAAAAGGUACUCCGGGGAUAACAGGCUGAUACCGCCCAAGAGUUCAUAUCGACGGCGGUGUUUGGCACCUCGAUGUCGGCUCAUCACAUCCUGGGGCUGAAGUAGGUCCCAAGGGUAUGGCUGUUCGCCAUUUAAAGUGGUACGCGAGCUGGGUUUAGAACGUCGUGAGACAGUUCGGUCCCUAUCUGCCGUGGGCGCUGGAGAACUGAGGGGGGCUGCUCCUAGUACGAGAGGACCGGAGUGGACGCAUCACUGGUGUUCGG